CGCAGGCCGCAGCCGCGCUCUCCCCCGAAAACCUAGCCAGCGAAUGUCCCGACAAGUAGGGACUAGGGAGCGAUGCGCCGCCGCCGCCUCACCCGAUCUAACUCCCCAGUCCCCGCCACUCCGCCGCCGCCCGAUUCUUCUGCUCUCCUUCUCCCCAAAUCCCCAAUCCCAUCGGCCUCCCUCUCUCUCCCCACCUCUGUGUCGUCCGCCGCCAGCCCCCGCGGGCUGCUCCCCAGUCGCAGUCUCCUACAAUCCAACCAGCUGCAGGCUGCUGAGGCCUCAAGCUUGCGGAUGGCGAUGAGGAGGUCCUUGCAGCCGGCCGCGCGCUCAUGACGCCGAGCGCGUGGUAGAUCACGGACUCCGCCCCUCAGCUGCCCAAGCUCGCUCUCAGCGUUAGGAAGUCACCAAGUACUCCCUCAGAUGAAAAGCAUGGAUGGUACUUGUCUCCAUCUAAGUUGCAGAUGACUUAAGAUGAGCUACUUGUGUCAUGAGAUGGAGCCAUCAAAUUCUGAAGAUGAGAUAAAUCCUUAGUGUGCACAGACUAAAUCUUUUGUACAUUAUUCUUGCAGUAAGCAAUUAUAUUAUAUGGUGAACACACUACAAUUUACGAUAUAUCCCUGUGACAGGUACAUUUGGCAAGAUAUUGCUAAAGUAAAAUGACAUUAUAUUCUAUUAUUUUCGGUACAUC